UACGAAGGGGACUAGCGUUGUUCGGAAUCACUGGGCGUAAAGCGCGUGUAGGCGGUCCGGUAAGUCCGCUGUGAAAGUCGAGGGCUCAACCCUCGAAUGCCGGUGGAUACUGUCGGGCUUGAGUACGGGAGAGGCGAGUGGAAUUCCUGGUGUAGCGGUGAAAUGCGCAGAUAUCAGGAGGAACACCGAUUGCGAAGGCAGCUCGCUGGAACGUUACUGACGCUGAGACGCGAAAGCGUGGGGAGCAAACAGG
rnacentral:rRNA from 1 species